CUUGACCAACAUAGUACAUGCCUCUUGGACAUUUUCAGAGCCAGAAAGGGAGUUGCUGGUCAGCUCUUGAUGAACCUUCUGAAGCAACAAAGCUAUCAGAGCCAACUGAACUUUGGUGCUUCAAGGACUACCCCUUUGGUUUGGAGAUGACUCUCCUGCUUUCUUUAAGACGUGUUUGAUGUCUGAUGAUCACAGCUCAAUUCUUUAUGUGCCAGUGGGGAUUGUGAUAGUUGAAGAUGGGACAAGAUGGGUCUCCCUCUUCGAUUGGAAUCGUAAUCGAGGGAAAAUUAGAGAUGGACAAUCUACAUGAUCUUCCUGAAGCAAUGUGCCUUCUGUUCGGACUAAUAUAUGCAUUGCACCUGAGUUACCCAAAGUCGCUGGGAUACACAUUUGACUUCAUUCAGCGGAUUCUACUUUCCUUGGGGCAGAAAGAACUUCAGCCUAAAACACAAUCGUUGGCAAACCAGCUGUUUUUUGCUUGGCGCACUUUUAAUAGCAACACAUUUACAUUAAACAUGGUCUUCCGAAAAUGAGACUUAAAAAUAUGAGCUUAAUGUUUUUUUAUUAAUGUGAGUGUAAUGUUUUGUAAAAAUGUAAGCUUACUGUUAAACAUGAGCUUAAUGUUUUAAUGUGACUUAAAAAUGCAGCUUUCUGUUAAAAAUGAGCUACUGUUUUCUAAAAAUGUGAGCUUAAGUGUUAAGUGCUUUUCAAGUGUCUUAAUGUGACUUAAAAAUAUGAGCUUGAUAUUAGUAAUGUUUCUUAAAUUAAUGUAAAUGUAUAAACCAAAUAAAGCUGUUAAUGGAAAAACAAUAUUUGUAUUAAAUCAUUAAAACAAGUAAACCAUAUAAAACUCGAAAAUUUAAGUUAAGUCUAUUUGCCUUUUUAAGUUAUCUGUACUUGAACAUUUAAGUUAAUUCAAUGACGAGACCAACAUUAGGUCAACUCAAUUGAAUUGAGUUGUCAAUUUUGCCAUUACUCAAUUUUACUUACGCAACCACUUUCCUCAAAUCAUUUGAGUAGUCUCAACUUAUUAGGGUUUACA